GAAUUCUUUGAAGUGGUGGAUGCCCACCAUUACACCACCAUUACUCCCACUACCACCACCACAACUCCCACCAUCAUCUCCACCAUUAUUCAUCAUUAAAAGUAUUGUAACUCUUGACCUUUGAGAGGUCUUUCUUGUACUAUAUAUACAACACAAUGUAAAUGUAUUUUAUAUACAAGAAGAAGAAGAGAAAUACAUAUUUUAUUCUCUCUAUUUAGUCUCUUAGUUCUCUUUAUUAUGUUGUGUUCUUCUUCAUUUUCUAACACGUUAUCAGCACGAGUUUGCUCUAUUUUCAUUUCUAGCUAAUAUAUUUCAACUAUGGAGAUUAGCGUUGAUGAUGAUCCAAAAGUGGAGGAUGCUUCAACCCAUAAUGAUGAAAAGGGAGAUGCUUCAUUAUAUUUUAUUGUUUUUUUUAGUUGAAGAACAAUAUUAACAAUCUUAUUUAUGUUGUAGAUAGAAUUUUGCACAAUUCAUAAUGUCAGACUUUGAGAACAUACUGAAUCGCUGAAAUCGGAUGUCGGACUUGAGAGAUAUGCUUAAAAUACUCAGACCUGGCAGAACUGUCAAUUCUGCGGAUUUUUUUUUUCGACCCACAAAAUAUUGAGGUACCCAAUUUUUUUUUUAAUUAUCAACACUCUGGUAUGUUCUUUGGUU